rnacentral:rRNA from 1 species
UACGAAGGGGGCUAGCGUUGCUCGGAAUGACUGGGCGUAAAGGGCGCGUAGGCGGCUUGUAUAGUCGGAUGUGAAAUUCCUGGGCUUAACCUGGGGGCUGCAUACGAGACGUAUGGGCUUGAGUGCGGAAGAGGGUCGUGGAAUUCCCAGUGUAGGGGUGAAAUGCGUAGAUAUCGAGAGGAACACCUGCGGCGAAGGCGGGUUGCUGGGCCGACACUGACGCUGAUGCGCGAAAGCCAGGGGAGCGAACGGG